rnacentral:rRNA from 1 species
UGGGGAAUUUUGGACAAUGGGCGAAAGCCUGAUCCAGCAAUGCCGCGUGUGUGAAGAAGGCCUUCGGGUUGUAAAGCACUUUUGUCCGGAAAGAAAUCCUUGGCUCUAAUACAGUCGGGGGAUGACGGUACCGGAAGAAUAAGCACCGGCCAACUACGUGCCAGCAGCCGCGGUAAUACGUAGGGUGCAAGCGUUAAUCGGAAUUACUGGGCGUAAAGCGUGCGCAGGCGGUUUGCUAAGACCGAUGUGAAAUCCCCGGGCUCAACCUGGGAACUGCAUUGGUGACUGGCAGGCUAGAGUAUGGCAGAGGGGGGUAGAAUUCCACGUGUAGCAGUGAAAUGCGUAGAGAUGUGGAGGAAUACCGAUGGCGAAGGCGGCCCCCUGGGCCAAUACUGACGCUCAUGCACGAAAGCGUGGAGAGCAAACAGGAUUAGAUACCCUGGUAGUCCACGCCCUAAACGAUGUCAACUAGUUGUUGGGGAUUCAUUUCCUUAGUAACGUAGCUAACGCGUGAAGUUGACCGCCUGGGGAGUACGGUCGCAAGAUUAAAACUCAAAGGAAUUGACGGGGUCAUAGCUGUUUCCU